rnacentral:rRNA from 1 species
GAUGAACGCUGGCGGCGUGCCUAAUACAUGCAAGUCGAGCGGACGGACGCGACGCUUGCUUCUUUCAUGUUAGCGGCGGACGGGUGAGUAACACGUGGAUACCCUACCUAUCAUACUGGUAUAACUUCGGGAAACCGGAUCUAAUCCCGGAUAAUAUUUUGCACCGCGUGGGUCAAAGGUGAAUGACGGCCUUGCUGUCUCUUCUCGAUGGAUCCGCGCUGCAUUAGAUAGUUGGUAAGGUCACGGCUUACCAAGGCAACUAUGCGUGGACGACCGGAGAGGGGGAUCGGCCACAUGGGAACGGAGACACCGUCAAUAGGACUACGAGAGGGAGCAGUAGGGAACGUUACGCAGUGGGCGAAAACAUGACACAGCAAGGCCGCGCGUGUGACGACGGUGUCCGGAGCGUAAAGCCCUGCUUUGAGGUAAGAACAGAUGUGGAAGUAACCGAGGACUGAGUGACGGUACUUAAUCAGAAAGCCACGGCUAACUACGUG